AUCUAUUGUACCUUACCUGGAAUCCAAAACAUUGCUCAUCUAAUAUAUCUAGCAGUCCAAACAAGACGAUCGUAUUUGUCUCAAAAUGGAAUUAGGUGACUACCAAGACUCCGAAUCCUCUGCAAUACGCCUUUUGUACUGCAAAGUACUGUAUUACCAUGAUCAUGGAUAGUGACCAUGCCAUCCAUCUUUGGGAUGGACGGCUGAUGCUUGUCUGAGAUAUGCAUCGUGUAUGGCACCGAGCGUGAUUGCUCAAAUUUUUACAAUGAAUGGCAACCAUCCAUCACUGAGAUAGAUGAUGUAGUAUCUAUCCAGCAUGGUACAACACUCUACAGUAUAAAAAGUAUAUUAUUGCUAAAGAUCCAUACUCAGACUCCUAAGUAAACAGGGGUACCAUGGUCUAUUCCAAGAACACAUUUCAUUUAUCCUCCCUGUAAAAACUACAGCAUUGAGGCUUCUCUACAUCGGCA
rnacentral:lncRNA from 1 species